rnacentral:rRNA from 1 species
AUUGAACGCUGGCUGCAGGCCUAACACAUGCAAGUCGAACGAGUGGCGGACGGGUGAGUAAUGUCUGGGAAACUGCCCGAUGGAGGGGGAUAACUACUGGAAACGGUAGCUAAUACCGCAUACCAUCGGAUGUGCCCAGAUGGGAUUAGUUAGAAGGUGGGGGAACGGCUCACCUAGGCGAGGAUCCCUAGCUGGUCUGAGAGGAUGACCGGCCAACAUGGAGCUGGGACACGGUCCAGAUUCCUACGGGAGGCAGCAGUGGGGAAUAUUGCUCAAUGGGCGCAAGCCUGAUGCAGCCAUGCCGCGUGUAUGAAGAAGGCCUUCGGGUUGUAAAGUACUGUCAGCGAGGAGGCGUUACUCGCAGAAGAAGCACCGGCUAACUCCGUGCCAGCAGCCGCGGUAAUAC